CUGUAGCCAAUGAAGGCAACCGGGUUCCCUUCCUCUCCUCACAGGGCCCCGGGUGCAAUGGCCGUAAGCCACAGUCUCCUUGGGAGCGUGCACAACCUGCUGCUUGCACAGGUUGCUCUAAGGGAUCCUGGAGACACGG